UACGGAGGGGGCUAGCGUUGUUCGGAAUUACUGGGCGUAAAGAGCACGUAGGCGGUUACGUAAGUUGGGAGUGAAAUCCCGGGGCUCAACCCCGGAACUGCUCUCAAAACUGCGUAACUAGAGAUCGGUAGAGGAAAGUGGAAUUCUUAGUGUAGAGGUGAAAUUCGUAGAUAUUAAGAGGAACACCAGAGGCGAAGGCGACUUUCUGGGCCGAUACUGACGCUGAGGUGCGAAAGCGUGGGGAGCAAACAGG
rnacentral:rRNA from 1 species